AUACGAAGGGGGCUAGCGUUGUUCGGAAUUACUGGGCGCAAAGCGCGCGUAGGCGGACUGAUCAGUUGGGGGUGAAAUCCCAGGGCUUAACCCUGGAACUGCCUCCAAUACUGUCAGUCUUAAGUUCGGGAGAGGUGAGUGGAAUUCCUAGUGUAGAGGUGAAAUUCGUAGAUAUUAGGAAGAACACCAGUGGCGAAGGCGGCUCACUGGCCCGAUACUGACGCUGAGGCGCGAAAGCGUGGGGAGCAAACAGGAUUAGAUACCCUAGUAGUCC
rnacentral:rRNA from 1 species